AUUGAACGCUGGCGGCAGGCCUAACACAUGCAAGUCGAACGAGUGGCGGACGGGUGAGUAAUGUCUGGGAAACUGCCCGAUGGAGGGGGGUAACUACUGGAAACGGUAGCUAAUACCGCAUACCAUCGGAUUUGCCCAGAUGGGCUUAGCUAGUCGGUGGGGUAACGGCGCACCUAGGCGACGAUCCCGACCUGGGCUGAGAGGAUGACCAGCAAAACUGGAACUGAGACACGGUCCAGACUCAUACGGGAGGCAGCGGUGGGGAAUAUGGCACAAUGGGCGCAAGCCUGAUGCAGCCAUGCCGCGUGGAUGAAGAAGGCCUUCGGGUUGUAAAGUACUUUCAGCGAGGAGGAGUUACUCGCAGAAGAAGCACCGGCUAACUCCGUGCCAGCAGCCGCGGUAAUAC
rnacentral:rRNA from 1 species